UUAAAUUUUAUUUAUUAAUUUUUUUUUUAAAAAAUUUUAUUAAUAAAAAUAAUUUUAAUAGUAUAAGUUUUAGUAUUUUAUAAAAAACAAAUAAUUUUUAUUAUAGUUUAUUAGUAUUGUAAAAGAAAAUUGAAAUAAAUUGAAAAAUUUUUAUUAAAAAAGAAAAUUUAAUUUAUUGUACCUUGUGUAUCAGGGUUUAUUAAAUAAAAAAUAUUUAUAAAUAUUUUUUUCGAAUUUUAGAGAUUUAAUUAUAUAAAAAAGUUAUUGUAGUAUAAUUAUUUUAAAUAUAUAAUUAGAAAUGAAAUGUUAAUCGUUCUAAAAUAUAUCUAGUUUUUUAAGAAAUAAAUUUAAUUUAGUUUUAAUUUUUAUUUAUUUAAUUUUUUAAUAAAAUAAAAAUUGAAAAUAAUAUUUUAAGGGAUUAGCUUUAAAAUAAAAUUUUAUAUUUAAUAUUUAAUUUAUAAUAAAUGUAGGCUUAAAAAUAGUUAUCAUUAAUAAGUUUGUUAUAAUUUAUUUUAUAAAAAUAAUUAUUUAUUUGAAAUUAAAUUAUUUAUUAAAAUAUAAAUUUUAAUAUAAAAAAUUUAUAAAUUAUGAUAAAAUUAGUAUAAAUAUAUUUAUUAAUAUAAAUAUUUGAAAGGUUUUAUUAAGGAAUUCGGCAAAUUAAAUAUAUUCACCUGUUUAUCAAAAACAUGUCUUUUUGUAUUUAAUUUAAAGUCUAACCUGCCCACUGAAUUUUAAAGGGCCGCGGUAUUUUGACCGUGCGAAGGUAGCAUAAUCAAUAGUCUUAUAAUUGAAGGCUGGUAUGAAUGGUUGAAUGAGAUAUAUACUGUCUUAAUAAAAUUUAAUUAAAACUUUAUUUUUUAGUUAAAAAGCUAAAAUUUAAUUAAAAGACGAGAAGACCCUAUAGAUCUUUAUUAUUAAAAAUUAUAAAUUAUAAAGAAUAAUUAAAUUUAUAAUUUUAUAAUAAUUUUAUUGGGGUGAUAUUAAAAUUUAAAAAACUUUUAUUAUUUAACACAUUUAUUUAUGGGUAAUUGAUCCUGUUUUAUAGAUUAAAAAUUUAAGUUACCUUAGGGAUAACAGCGUAAUAUUUUUUGAGAGUUCAUAUCGACAAAAAAGAUUGCGACCUCGAUGUUGAAUUAAGAAUUAUUUUUAGGUGUAGAAGUUUAAAGUUUAGGUCUGUUCGACCUUUGAAUUCUUACAUGAUUUGAGUUCAAACCGGCGUAAGCCAGGUUGGUUUCUAUCUUUAAUAAAUUAUUAUAUUGUAGUACGAAAGGACCUAAUAUAAAAAAUAUAAAUUUUAUAAUAAUUGAAUAUUAUUAAUGUUAUU
rnacentral:rRNA from 1 species